GAUUUUUCUGUUACUUCUGUUUGUUGUUCUAGUACUUAUCCCUGUCCUUCGUCACUACUUAAUACUUCGGGAAGGAAUCAAUUAUUGAGUGGAAGUAGGAUCUAUGUCUAUUUUGAACAGAUUUGGGGUACAGUCAAUUUUCAUACCAUGAUCUUAUCCAUAAUGUCCCCUUUUAGAGAGCAGUAGAAUUAAGAGCUUUGAGAUCGUCAACACAAAAUCCGAUCAAAUUAGGAUAAAAUGUACUGGCUGGAGGGAAAGACUCCAGAAAAAACCGCGGUCAUACUUGAAUAAAACCAUUUACUGU
rnacentral:lncRNA from 1 species